CUAAGAGUCAUCCACACGAGCCCACAAAUCUCGAUCAGAAGUUCUGCUUCAGGAAAUUAGUACAGUAUGCUAGUACUGCGCUGAUCCUUCUUCGAUGGUUGAUCAGGUACCUUCUUCUUCUUGAUUUGGACUCUUUCAAAGAUGAAAAGUAGGAGGAGGAGUUUCAAAUCUGAGAUGCUCUCAAAAAACUCAAGAUGGAGGAAGGAAAGAGAUGAAACUAACAACCCUAGAAGAAGACCCUCUUCUUCUUCUCUUUACUCUCUCCUAGACAUCCUGUCUUAUGUC
rnacentral:lncRNA from 1 species